CUCACUCUUCUCUAAAACAUCCAAGCUCGAACUUGCUUUCUUCGUCUUCCUCCUUCUCUCGUCAUUUCCUAUAAUUCUCUCAUAUCACUUAAACCACACACCAGAACUAAAAUAUAUUUCGUUAUUAUUCUCUUACAUAAGUCGCAUAAAUAUCAUCAAAAAUGUCUUGCCUAGAGAUUUAUAACAAAGACAUGAUGAAGAAGAAAGGAGAAGGAGAAGAAACGAGAGAUGGAACUGUGGAUUACUAUGGUCGUCCCUCUAUUCGUUCCAACUCGGGCCAAUGGGUUGCUGGCAUCAUCAUUCUUGUGAACCAGGGGUUGGCCACACUGGCAUUCUUUGGAGUUGGAGUGAACUUGGUGCUGUUCCUAACGCGCGUGUUGCAGCAGAACAACGCAGACGCAGCGAACAACGUUAGCAAAUGGACAGGAACUGUUUACAUCUUCUCAUUGGUCGGAGCGUUUCUCAGCGAUUCAUACUGGGGUCGUUACAAGACUUGUGCUAUCUUCCAAGUCAUUUUUGUCAUCGGACUUUCAUCGCUAUCUCUAUCGUCAUACAUGUUCUUGAUCAAACCAAGAGGUUGCGGGAACGAAGUCACGCCUUGCAGUACACAUUCAACAAUGGAGAUCACAAUGUUCUACCUUUCUAUCUACUUGAUCGCUUUGGGGAACGGCGGUUACCAACCGAACAUAGCAACGUUUGGAGCUGAUCAGUUCGAUGAGGAGCAUCCUAAAGAAGGGUACUCAAAGAUAGCCUUCUUCAGCUACUUCUACCUCGCUUUGAACCUAGGUUCCCUCUUCUCCAACACCAUCUUGGGAUAUUUUGAGGAUGAGGGGAUGUGGGCACUCGGGUUCUGGGCCUCCACUGGCUCUGCCGUCUUGGCUUUGAUUCUUUUCCUCGUUGGAACACCGAGAUACCGACAUUUCAAGCCAACGGGGAACCCUCUUUCGAGGUUUUGCCAAGUUUUGGUCGCUGCAACGAAGAAAUCAUCGGUGGAGGCGCCGUCAAGAGGGAGAGAGGAGAUGUACGAUGAAGACAGACAAGAGAAAAAUGAUUCAGUAAACAACACAGGAAGGAGAAUAAUGCAUACUGAUGAGUUCAAGUUCUUGGACAGAGCAGCUUACAUCACAGCAAGAGAUCUUGAUGACAAGAAACAAGGGGGAGUGAACCCAUGGAGGCUUUGUCCUGUGACACAAGUUGAGGAAGUGAAAUGUAUACUUAGACUGAUGCCGAUUUGGCUCUGCACUAUAAUCUACUCGGUCGUCUUCACCCAGAUGGCAUCUCUCUUUGUGGAGCAAGGCGCAGCGAUGAAGACCACUGUCUCUGAUUUCAAAAUCCCUCCCGCAAGUAUGUCCAGCUUCGACAUCCUCAGCGUCGCUUUGUUCAUAUUCAUAUACCGCAGAGUUCUAGAGCCACUAGCCACCAGAUUCAAGAAGAAGGAUGGAACAAAGGGAAUCACAGAGCUUCACAGGAUGGGUAUUGGACUUGUGAUUGCUAUCUUAGCUAUGGUUGCAGCUGGACUUGUGGAAUGCUUUAGGCUUAAGUAUGCAGACAAGAGCUGCACUCACUGUGAUGGCUCAAGCUCAUUAAGCAUCUUCUGGCAGGUUCCACAAUACUCGCUCAUUGGAGCAUCAGAAGUGUUCAUGUACGUGGGCCAGCUCGAGUUCUUCAACGCGCAGACACCUGACGGACUGAAGAGCUUUGGGAGUGCUCUAUGUAUGAUGUCAAUGUCGAUGGGGAACUUUGUGAGUAGCUUGCUGGUGACGAUGGUGGUGAAGAUCUCUACAGUGGAUCACAUGCCUGGUUGGAUUCCAAGGAACCUCAACAAAGGUCACUUGGACAGAUUCUAUUUCCUCCUGGCUGCCUUGACCAGCAUUGACCUGGUGGUGUACAUUGCAUGUGCAAGGUGGUACAAAAGUAUAAAACUAGAAGCGAAAGAUGAGAUGCAAGACAUGUUGAGUGAUGAUGAUGUAAGUGACACCGACAGUGACGACUACGAGGAGCGACCCAAGGAUUCCAAAGUCUAACAAAAUGUGUGUUCGGUUUUUCAAAUUUUUUUGGUUUGGUUUGGUUUGGUUUCCCGGUGAUGUAACAUGCAAACUGAUUGAUAAAUAAAAAACUAAAUCAAUUAUCAAUCGAUGAGAAGCAACAUGGUUUCAAUGUACCUGUAAGAGUUUCACCUUUGGUAAAAGAGCCAGUCUCUGUA